AGAGUUUGAUCCUGGCUCAGGAUGAACGCUGGCGGCGUGCUUAACACAUGCAAGUCGAACGGGAAACCUUUUAUUGAAGCUUCGGCAGAUUUAGAUUGUUUCUAGUGGCGGACGGGUGAGUAACGCGUGGGUAACCUGCCUUAUACAGGGGGAUAACAGUCAGAAAUGACUGCUAAUACCGCAUAAGCGCACAGAGCUGCAUGGCUCAGUGUGAAAAACUCCGGUGGUAUAAGAUGGACCCGCGUUGGAUUAGCUGGUUGGUGAGGUAACGGCCCACCAAGGCGACGAUCCAUAGCCGGCCUGAGAGGGUGAACGGCCACAUUGGGACUGAGACACGGCCCAGACUCCUACGGGAGGCAGCAGUGGGGAAUAUUGCACAAUGGGGGAAACCCUGAUGCAGCGACGCCGCGUGAAGGAAGAAGUAUCUCGGUAUGUAAACUUCUAUCAGCAGGGAAGAAAAUGACGGUACCUGACUAAGAAGCCCCGGCUAACUACGUGCCAGCAGCCGCGGUAAUACGUAGGGGGCAAGCGUUAUCCGGAUUUACUGGGUGUAAAGGGAGCGUAGACGGUAAAGCAAGUCUGAAGUGAAAGCCCGGGGCUCAACCCCGGGACUGCUUUGGAAACUGUUUAACUAGAGUGCUGGAGAGGUAAGCGGAAUUCCUAGUGUAGCGGUGAAAUGCGUAGAUAUUAGGAGGAACACCAGUGGCGAAGGCGGCUUACUGGACAGUAACUGACGUUGAGGCUCGAAAGCGUGGGGAGCAAACAGGAUUAGAUACCCUGGUAGUCCACGCUGUAAACGAUGAUUACUAGGUGUGGGGGGUUUGACCCCUUCCGUGCCGGAGUUAACACAAUAAAGUAAUCCACCUGGGGAGUACGGCCGCAAGGUUGAAACUCAAAAGGAAUUGACGGGGGCCCGCACAAGCAGUGGAGUAUGUGGUUUUAAUUUGAAGCAACGCGAAGAACCUUACCAGGUCUUGACAUCCAACUACCGAAGUAGAGAUACAUUAGGUGCCCUUCGGGGAAAGUUGAGACAGGUGGUGCAUGGUUGUCGUCAGCUCGUGUCGUGAGAUGUUGGGUUAAGUCCCGCAACGAGCGCAACCCUUGCUAUUAGUUGCUACGCAAGAGCACUCUAAUAGGACUGCCGUUGACAAAACGGAGGAAGGUGGGGAGGACGUCAAAUCAUCAUGCCCCUUAUGACCUGGGCUACACACGUACUACAAUGGAUGUUAACAGAGGGAAGCAAGACAGCGAUGUGGAGCAAACCCCUAAAAACAUUCUCAGUUCAGAUUGCAGGCUGCAACCCGCCUGCAUGAAGAUGGAAUUGCUAGUAAUCGCGGAUCAGCAUGCCGCGGUGAAUACGUUCCCGGGCCUUGCACACACCGCCCGUCA
rnacentral:rRNA from 1 species